rnacentral:rRNA from 1 species
UACGUAGGCAGCAAGCGUUGUUCGGAAUUACUGGGCGUAAAGAGUGUGUAGGCGGUGCUCUAAGUUCGGUGUGAAAUCUCCCGGCUCAACUGGGAGGGUGCGCCGAAAACUGGGGUGCUGGAGCGCGGGAGAGGAAAGCGGAAUUCCUGGUGUAGCGGUGAAAUGCGUAGAUAUCAGGAGGAACACCAAUAGCGAAGGCAGCUCGCUGGGACGUUACUGACACUGAGACGCGAAAGCGUGGGGAGCGAACAGG